rnacentral:rRNA from 1 species
UACGAAGGGGGCUAGCGUUGCUCGGAAUCACUGGGCGUAAAGCGCACGUAGGCGGAUUGCUAAGUCAGGAGUGAAAUCCUGGAGCUCAACUCCAGAACUGCCUUUGAUACUGGCGAUCUUGAGUCCGGGAGAGGUGAGUGGAACUGCGAGUGUAGAGGUGAAAUUCGUAGAUAUUCGCAAGAACACCAGUGGCGAAGGCGGCUCACUGGCCCGGUACUGACGCUGAGGUGCGAAAGCGUGGGGAGCAAACAGG